rnacentral:rRNA from 1 species
UACAGGGGGUGCAAACGUUGCUCGGAAUCAUUGGGCGUAAAGCGCACGUAGGCGGUUCGUUAUGUCGGAUGUGAAAGCCCUUGGCUUAACCGAGGAAGUGCAUCCGAAACUGGCGAGCUAGAGUACUAAAGAGGAUCGCGGAAUUCCCGGUGUAGAGGUGAAAUUCGUAGAUAUCGGGAGGAACACCGGUGGCGAAGGCGGCAACCUGGUCCUUGACUGACGCUGAGGCGCGAAAGCGUGGGGAGCAAACAGG